CACCCCUUCACGUUUCCCAAGCCGCCACCCCUAGUUUUCUUUUCUUCAGUGCGUCGUUCGAGACCAACCCCCACUCUCUGACCUUCGACCUAGCACCUCCUCGCUAACCAGCCCCUUCGCCGUCGACGGUCUUGCCUCAGCCCCAGCCAUGCCACCAGCUGGUCUUCUCCGUGCGCUAGAUCCGUUUACCCAGCGUCGUUUGAGAGCUUUUCCCGCACUCGCGUCGCCUAACCAACUACCCCAGCCGCGCGCUGCUCGCCGGCGAGCUCUAGUUGUCCAUCGCCGCUCCUCCAUCUAGCCAGUCGUGUCUUUCCAGCGUCGCCCAGCCCCGCCGUCGUGGUUGCCGUUGGAUCUAUUUUGGUCAAGUGUUAGAGAAGUUUGGAAGUCAAAAGGCCACCGUUAAGAAAAGUUGGAAGUGGUUUCACCUUUGGGUAAGCUUUUGGGCAUUUAAAUUUUAGUAAUCUUUGCGGGUUGGGUUGGUUUUGGUAUUUUGGAUUUAGAUCUAAGGAUUUACAGUUAGUUGUUUGGGUUGAAAUUGAAUGGUUGUAUUCCUAUGUUAGGAUUGCUACCUUGAGUUGCUAUAUUAUUUUGGUUGCCUGAUUAACUAUGAAUCUCGACAUCAAGAUAAGUAAUCGUACUACUGGAACUACCUCGUGCCAUGCAAUAUUAAGCAUGUUGUAUUGAAGUUGUUUAUUA